rnacentral:rRNA from 1 species
CGUGACUAUACAUGCAGUCGAACGAGUUCUGAUUAUUGAAAGGUGCUUGCAUCUUGAUUUAAUUUUGAACGAGUGGCGGACGGGUGAGUAACACGUGGGUAACCUGCCCUUAAGUGGGGGAUAACAUUUGGAAACAGAUGCUAAUACCGCAUAAAUCCAAAAACCGCAUGGUUCUUGGCUGAAAGAUGGCGUAAGCUAUCGCUUUUGGAUGGACCCGCGGCGUAUUAGCUAGUUGGUGAGGUAACGGCUCACCAAGGCAAUGAUACGUAGCCGAACUGAGAGGUUGAUCGGCCACAUUGGGACUGAAACACGGCCCAAACUCCUACGGGAGGCAGCAGUAGGGAAUCUUCCACAAUGGACGCAAGUCUGAUGGAGCAACGCCGCGUGAGUGAAGAAGGCUUUCGGGUCGUAAAACUCUGUUGUUGGAGAAGAAUGGUCGGCAGAGUAACUGUUGUCGGCGUGACGGUAUCCAACCAGAAAGCCACGGCUAACUACGUGCCAACAGCCGCGGUAAUACGUAGGUGGCAAGCGUUAUCCGGAUUUAUUGGGCGUAAAGCGAGCGCAGGCGGUUUUUUAAGUCUGAUGUGAAAGCCCCUCGGCUUAACCGAAGAAGUGCAUCGGAAAACUGGUGAAACUUG